GAUACGAUUUGUAAAUUUGCAUUAAUUUAUAACUUUCAUAUUAUUAGAAAAAAGUGUUUAGUAAUGUUAUAGUAUUAAAGUGAUAUGAAAAUAUUGAAGUUUGUUUUCAGUAAUGUAAUUCGUGUUACUAAUGUGUUAUCAGUCAGUGUUUAAAUUAUUGUCUGAGGACAAUAAAUGCUUGAAUUCUUCCACAAUGCCACUAUACAGGCACAAUAUGGGCACAAUUUUUUCUAUGAAAAUUAUCAUUCCUUGAACGAGUACGAUAUUGAAUUGAAAAUCGCAUAUAACACAAAUACUCCGUAUACUGAGCUAGAUUAGUUCAAAAUUGAAGUCGUCAUUAUUCUUUCAAGCGAUGCACUAACCACCAGUUCCAGAGUAUCUAUGGUUUAGAAACCUUCUCUUAGGAAUGGUUGGCUACUAAUGAGCCGUGAAAAAUUGAAAAAGAAACUAUUUAAAAUAAUAAAUAAAUCACAUGCAUUUUUGUAAGUUGGAGCUUAAAGCAUCAAGUCUUCAAUACAAAUUACUUUCAAAAUUAGUUUUAAAAGAAAUUAUUUUAUGAAAUAUCUCGUGCUUAUAUUUAUUUUAAAAAUA